UACGUAGGGGGCAAGCGUUGUCCGGAAUCAUUGGGCGUAAAGCGCGUGUAGGCGGCUCGGUAAGUCCGCUCUGAAAGCCCGGGGCUCAACCCCGGGAGGCGGGUGGAUACUGCUGAGCUCGAGUCCGGAAGAGGAGUGUGGAAUUCCUGGUGUAGCGGUGGAAUGCGUAGAGAUCGGGAAGAACAUCAGUGGCGAAGGCGGCCUGCUGGGCUGUUGCUGACGCUGAGGCGCGACAGCGUGGGGAGCAAACAGG
rnacentral:rRNA from 1 species